rnacentral:rRNA from 1 species
UGCCAGCCGCCGCGGUAAUACGGAGGGUGCAAGCGUUAAUCGGAAUUACUGGGCGUAAAGGGCGCGUAGGUGGCUAGGUCAGUCGGGUGUGAAAGCCCCGAGCUCAACUCGGGAAUUGCAUUCGAUACUGCCUGGCUAGAGUGUGGUAGAGGGAAGCGGAAUUCCGGGUGUAGCGGUGAAAUGCGUAGAUAUCCGGAGGAACACCGAUGGCGAAGGCAUCUCUCUGGGCCGAUAUUGACGCUGAGGCGCGAAGGCGUGGGUAGCAAACGGGAUUAGAUA